rnacentral:rRNA from 1 species
AACACAUGCAAGUCGCACGAGAAAGUGGAGCAAUCCAUGAGUAAAGUGGCGCACGGGUGAGUAACACGUGAAUAAUCUACCUCCGAGUGGGGAAUAACCUAGGGAAACCUGGGCUAAUACCGCAUAACACUUACGAGUCAAAGCAGCAAUGCGCUUGGAGAGGAGUUCGCGGCAGAUUAGCUAGUUGGUGGGGUAAUGGCCCACCAAGGCGAUGAUCUGUAUCCGGCCUGAGAGGGCGCACGGACACACUGGAACUGAAACACGGUCCAGACUCCUACGGGAGGCAGCAGUGGGGAAUUUUGCGCAAUGGGGGAAACCCUGACGCAGCAACGCCGCGUGGAGGAUGAAAUCCCUUGGGAUGUAAACUCCUUUCGAUCGGGACGAUUAUGACGGUACCGGAAGAAGAAGCCCCGGCUAACUUCGUGCCAGCAGCCGCGGUAAUACGAGGGGGGCGAGCGUUGUUCGGAAUUAUUGGGCGUAAAGGGUGCGUANGCGGUUUGAUAAGUCUGAUGUGAAAUCUAUGGGCUCAACCCAUAGUCUGCAUUANAAACUGUCGGGCUUGA